GUGGAUUAGAUACCCGAGUAGUCCUAGCCGUAAACGAUGGAUACUAGGCGUGGCUUGUAUCGACCCGAGCCGUGCCGAAGCUAACGCGUUAAGUAUCCCGCCUGGGGAGUACGCACGCAAGUGUGAAACUCAAAGGAAUUGACGGGGGCCCGCACAAGCGGUGGAGUAUGUGGUUUAAUUCGAUGCAACGCGAAGAACCUUACCAAGACUUGACAUGUCGCGAACCCUGGUGAAAGCUGGGGGUGCCUUCGGGAGCGCGAACACAGGUGGUGCACGGCCGUCGUCAGCU
rnacentral:rRNA from 1 species